rnacentral:rRNA from 1 species
CCUACGGGUGGCAGCAGUCGAGAAUCAUUCACAAUGGGGGAAACCCUGAUGGUGCGACGCCGCGUGGGGGAAUGAAGGUCUUCGGAUUGUAAACCCCUGUCAUGUGGGAGCAAAUUAAAAAGAUAGUACCACAAGAGGAAGAGACGGCUAACUCUGUGCCAGCAGCCGCGGUAAUACAGAGGUCUCAAGCGUUGUUCGGAAUCACUGGGCGUAAAGUGUGCGUAGGCUGUUUCGUAGGUCGUGUGUGAAAGGCGCGGGCUCAACCCGCGGACGGCACAUGAUACUGCGAGACUAGAGUAAUGGAGGGGGAACCGGAAUUCUCGGUGUAGCAGUGAAAUGCGUAGAUAUCGAGAGGAACACUCGUGGCGAAGGCGGGUUCCUGGACAUUAACUGACGCUGAGGCACGAAGGCCAGGGGAGCGAAAGGGAUUAGAUACCCGUGUAGUC